AGCAGCCGCGGUAAUUCCAGCUCCAAUAGCGUAUAUUAAAGUUGUUGCAGUUAAAAAGCUCGUAGUUGAAUUUCGAGAUCAAAUUGUUGGUCGUGCCUCGGUACGUACUGGCAUUAUUGAUUUCUCCCUUCUGAAGAACCACGAUGUCAUUAAUUUGGUGUCGUGGGGAAUCAGGACUGUUACUUUGAAAAAAUUAGAGUGUUUAAAGCAGGCUCACGCUUGAAUACAUUAGCAUGGAAUAAUGAAAUAGGACGUUUGAUUCUAUUUUGUUGGUUUCUAGGAUUGACGUAAUGAUUAAUAGGGAUAGUUGGGGGCAUUAGUAUUCAAUUGUCAGAGGUGAAAUUCUUGGA
rnacentral:rRNA from 1 species